rnacentral:rRNA from 1 species
UACGGGGGGAGCAAGCGUUGUUCGGAUUUACUGGGCGUAAAGGGCGCGUAGGCGGCUUUGUAAGUUAGAGGUGAAAGCCCGGGGCUCAACUCCGGAACUGCCUUUAAGACUGCAUCGCUUGAAUCCAGGAGAGGUGAGUGGAAUUCCGAGUGUAGAGGUGAAAUUCGUAGAUAUUCGGAAGAACACCAGUGGCGAAGGCGGCUCACUGGACUGGUAUUGACGCUGAGGUGCGAAAGCGUGGGGAGCAAACAGG